AACGCGAAGAACCUUACCUGGGUUUGACAUCUCCGGACAAACGUAGAGAUACGUCUUUAGUAGCAAUACUACCGGAAGACAGGUGCUGCAUGGCUGUCGUCAGCUCGUGUGGUGACAUGUUGGGUUAAGUCCCGCAACGAGCGCAACCCCUGUCCUUAGUUGCCAGCAUUCAGUUGGGCUCUCUAAGGAGACUGCCGUGGUGAACACGGAGGAAGGUGGGGAUGACGUCAAGUCCUCAUGGCCUUUAUAUCCAGGGCGACACACGUGAUACAAUGGACGGUACAGAGGGAAGCGAAACCGCGAGGUGGAGCCAAUCUCAAAAAGCCGUUCUCAGUUCGGAUUGGAGUCUGCAACUCGACUCCAUGAAGUUGGAAUCGCUAGUAAUCGCGGAUCAGCACGCCGCGGUGAAUACGUUCCCGGGCCUUGUACACACCGGCUAC
rnacentral:rRNA from 1 species